AUGCUUUUUUUCAUGGACAGAUUUUCGUAUCCAUGCUCGCCGUUAUCAUGGCCGUUAUCAGGUCCAUUGUUUUGGUAUUUACUAUUUACAUGACCGCAGCCUGCCGCCAGCCGUGAUCCGAACAAAAUAUUGUGUAUCGCAAUAUUAUUAUUUUUUUUAACUGUUUAGACUAGACGAUAAGUUUGUCUGUUUGUGUUUUUUUUUUUUGAAAUUUUUUUUUUGAAUCCAAAUCUGUGCGUGGAGACCGAUCGGAGGCGACCACGUAAACGAAUCACGCCUAUAUUACUGGUUUCACUUAAGCGUUGAGCUGACUACCAAGUUGCAUCAUUCCUGUUACCACGACUUGCGUUCUUCUUGCACGUGACAUUUUCAGCGUUCAAAGCAUAGCAACAAGUGCCAGUUGAUAAUUGGUCAUUGACUGUUGUUUAAUGUCAUUUUGUGCCAUUGUUUAUCAAAUAGUUAUAAAUUAUUCAACUAUUUAGCACUUCUUGCCAUGCUCCUCAGUACAGUUGUUUUGUUCUGUAAAUCAAAACAUUUCUCUCGUAUUCUGAAAAUCUACUGUUUGAAGAUUUAGGUUAUUCAAUUUUUGAUAAUGGGUGAUGAAUAAUAAUUGCUGCAGGUAGUCAAACAACAUUACAAUUCUUUCAAAGCUAUGUUUUCCUCAGGUAAACUACUUGUUUUAAUAACUUAAUGCGCUGUAUUCGUCUUUUUGGCUUAAAAUAAAAUUUAAAAUGCCCAUAACU